UACUUAAGUGGUGUGUGGUCGUGUUUGGGCAGUCGAGCAAGAAGCAGAACAUACCUACCCCACCAUGCCGAUUCUCGCCAUGGAUGGCAUGGAUUUCUUCUUCGAGGAAUCUAGAGCAGGGUAAUCUUCUGGAAAAAAAAAUCCUAUUUCUCGCCUAGUUUCUUGCUGACUCGUAUCGUGUUUCGGUGCCGGGGUUGUCUUAAGAGAUCUAGUUGCCGGCGCACACCUGGCUGAGGGUAACACGAGUGGAACUGGCGAUGCGGAGGAGGACCUAAUUUCUUCUGUGCAGAUAGGACCAGCUGGAAGCCGCAUGGAUUACGAAGGGGACGAGAAUAUUGGUGAAACAUUAAUUGCGCACUAGGAGGGAGGGAGGGGGUGCGGCUCGUAUGAUCUUGGCGGCGAAGGGAUGAGUGAUUCAUGCGAGAUAGGUGAUUCAAAUAUUGCGUCUGAUGCCGCGGAACAGGAUGCAGACGAGGAGGGCGAGGGAGUAACCAAUGCAAAUCAAUCUUCUUGGACCAUGAGGGUCAAAGUUGGGAAGGCAACGGAUGAGAGGGAACCGAGCCCUUCAAGGAUGCCUGCCCUUGAAGCUUGUGUCCGUGCAUAUGUCGAUAAAAUAUCAGGAAAUGUUGUCAAUCCAUCGAUUGGGACUAAUUUUGAUUCUGUUGAAAAAGGCUAUGAGUUCUACAAUAUGUAUUCCUGGGAGGUUGGUUUUGGUGUCCGCUAUGCCAAAAGCCAUCUGAAUGUACACCGGAAAACAUCCCAAUUGAGGUACAUGCAUCUCA